rnacentral:rRNA from 1 species
CCUUGUACACACCGCCCGUCACACCAUGGGAGUUGGCUUUACCUGAAGACGGUGCGCUAACCGCAAGGAGGCAGCCGGCCACGGUAGGGUCGGCGACUGGGGUG